UUAAUACUCCCUCCGUUCGGAAUUACUCGUCCAAGAAAUGAAUGUAUCUAGAUGUACUUUAGUUGUAGAUACAUCCAUUUUUAUCCAUUUUUGUGACAAGUAAUACCGAACGGAGGGAGUACAUG
rfam:Triticum aestivum genome assembly, contig: Triticum_aestivum_CS42_TGACv1_scaffold_222684_3B